rnacentral:ncRNA from 1 species
CGCUCCGGAGAAGUCUGCUUAACAGAUGCCGAAGGUGCAAGGCGCUUAAAAAAGCGCCAAUCUCUCAGGCAAAAGGACGGAAGUU